UACGGGGGGAGCAAGCGUUGUUCGGAUUCAUUGGGCGUAAAGGGUGCGUAGGUGGCGCUGUAAGUCGGGUGUGAAAUUUCGGAGCUUAACUCCGAAACUGCAUUCGAUACUGCGGUGCUUGAGGACUGGAGAGGAGACUGGAAUUCAUGGUGUAGCAGUGAAAUGCGUAGAGAUCAUGAGGAAGACCAGUGGCGAAGGCGGGUCUCUGGACAGUUCCUGACACUGAGGCACGAAGGCCAGGGAGCAAACGGG
rnacentral:rRNA from 1 species